CAAUCAGAGAGUAAGGAACACAUACCUCCUAGGCAAUCAGAGAGGAAUGAUCAUGACAACUGAACUCUGGGCCUCAUACACACAAGAAUUAUGAUGCGACGAUGAUCCUGAAAUGAAGCAAGUGGAAACCCUCGAAAACGCAAAUCAAGUAGUUUUAGUUCCGUUCUAAGAAGAUUCUAUUUCUGCGCCACAGCCAUCUCCCAGUCUUCAACAACAGGCAGUGAUUUCAAAUCAAUGGAUGUGCUAAAUAAGCAGAACAGGGUCUCUUUUACCGUAGGAUACUGUCUGCUCAUCUGGGUUCGGAAUUCAAGUCAACAAGAAUGCAGCUACAGCUGAUCCCUUUGUGCCACAGAAAGUGAGCAUGAAAUACACUGCUGCAUUUGUGACCCACUACGGUUUGAGGAUUAUUGCUAAUGCAGCAUAAAACAGCAGGCUUGCCCAGUAACACACCUUUCCUGGCUUUAACCCUGGGCUGUCGUUUAAAUCCUAAAAGUCCCACAACAUCCCAUGUAUUCUAGGCAACAUUACCACCCAAGGAGCUACUGGGAAAUCGUACAACCUUUCAGGUCUACUGGGAAGAAGUUAAGUCCUUGGGGGUGUAUGCUUGAAGGAAAUAUUAGCUCUUUGCUUCCUGGCUACCAUGAAGUGAAUAGCCUAUAGCCCCAUGGUAUCUCCCUGCCACAAUGUACAACCUCACCAUAGGCACAGACAGCAAUAGGGCUGACCAACUAUGGGCCAAAGUUUCCAAACCUGUGAGCCAAUGAAAUCGUUUGCACCUUUGCAACAGACUAUCUCAAGUAUUUUGUUAUAGGGGUGGCUAAAGGAA